ensembl:snoRNA
UGGACCAUGAUGAUGACUGGGGGUCCAUGAGUCAUGGGUGGUGAAUCAUGGGAGUGUGGGACUCCGAGGGCCAA